rnacentral:rRNA from 1 species
CCUACGGGCGGCAGCAGUGAGGAAUAUUGGUCAAUGGACGAGAGUCUGAACCAGCCAAGUAGCGUGAAGGAUGACUGCCCUAUGGGUUGUAAACUUCUUUUAUAUGGGAAUAAAAUCUUCCACGUGUGGGCUUUUGUAUGUACCAUAUGAAUAAGGAUCGGCUAACUCCGUGCCAGCAGCCGCGGUAAUACGGAGGAUCCGAGCGUUAUCCGGAUUUAUUGGGUUUAAAGGGAGCGUAGGUGGUUUGUUAAGUCAGUUGUGAAAGUUUGCGGCUCAACCGUAAAAUUGCAGUUGAAACUGGCAGUCUUGAGUGCAGUAGAGGUGGGCGGAAUUCGUGGUGUAGCGGUGAAAUGCUUAGAUAUCACGAAGAACUCCGAUUGCGAAGGCAGCUCACUGGACUGCAACUGACACUGAGGCUCGAAAGUGUGGGUAUCAAACAGGAUUAGAUACCCUUGUAGUC